UCACACAACAUUGCUCGUACA
rnacentral:miRNA from 1 species